ensembl:lncRNA
CACCGGGGUUCCCCGCGAAGCUCGCGUGGGCGGAGCUGGGGACGUGGCGUCCGCCGCGUGUGGAGCUGGAUGGGAGGAGACGAGGGAGAAGAGGGGGAUGGGUAGGGGAGAUGGGCCGAAGGGAGCAGGAAGGUGUGGAAGGUUUUAAGGAAAAAAGGGAGUGAAGAAAGUGACUGGAAAUGGGAUGGGGUAGAAAGUGGAGGCAGGGGAAAGCCAGGAAGGAAGGAAGCGUGGAGGCGAGGGGGAGGCCGGAAGAGUUGGGGGAGGGGAUUGGUUAAGGGUAGAAAGAGGGAUGGGAAAGAAAGGAAGAGAUAGUAGGAGGGAUUUAGAAGGCCUGCCCUGCUCUCCUCUCCCAACACACAUACCUUACUCCAGGCUCAGCCCUGAGGCCUCCAAGGUGUGUCUGUGGCUCCUUCCUGCAGUGGACUUUUCACCAGGGCAGCAGCCACGUCCGGCCUCCUUUAACCACCAUCACCUCAGGAACAAAAGGCAUAAUACCUCAAAGACUUGGUAGUACAGUGGGUUUGUUUUGUUUCGUCUUUUUCUGUUUCUAAGGGCAGUCGUUCCCAGGAAGGUUUUGUGUUCUGUUCCCUGGCUUAACAGAAGUUUAUCCCCAUUCCCACCCCAGUAAGCCCUAUGGGUGGCAAAGGAGUUAGAAGUGGGACCUGCUAAAGAACUCAAGGGCAUGGCUAUGGGAAUGUGGAGGGAAGGAUCAGCACCCAUGUAUCUCCUUAGCAGCCUGGAGGCCAUCUCCCCUUACCUACCUCUUCUGAUGCUACCUCCAAAAUUCAGUGUCUGUCAUUGCAGAGAUCAACACCAGAAGCAUUCCACAGACAUCGUCAGCUAUACACAGUCAAGGAAGCAGUUUGUGGUCAAGGCAGGAAAGAUCAAGUAUGUGAUAAUGUGAAUCCUAGUGUCAGCAGAUCCUGUGAUGAAGCCAGAAGGAACCCCACCAGCAAUGGGCGUCUGCACUAACUAGUAAGACCUCUAAACAGAUGCUCUCCUUGAAGCUGAGGAGACUGCACAACGCAUUAGGACGUCUGGCUGCUGAACUCUGCCUAGUAACUUGCAUUCCUGAUAUCACCUACCACCCUACGAUUGGAGGAAAUACACUGGCCUCCUAACAGAAGGGGGACUGGAAGACACGGUCCUAGCUGACCCUACUGGAUUCCUGCUCUGUCUUUUUCUAACUCUUCUGCCUAUGAAGUUCUAGCCCUGUAGGCUCAGAAAUUGUGUAAAGAGAGGAUGCUGGGCCCUUCCCUUAACUGUCUUGCUGGCCACUCUUAAGUUAGUUGAUGAUAUCCUUAUGUAAACAGGAUUCUCUUGCUUGCUUCCACUGCACAGAGAACUUCCUGGGAACUACACAGGGUGUGCAGGAAACUGGGAAGUGUGGUACCUGCCCCCCACCACAGUAAUGUGUAGUCUGAGGACCAGAGCACAUCUGCAGGGUAGCUAGUGCUUUAAGCUAGUGUCUGGACAGCACUUUUGAGAAACCAUCAUCAUACCUAUACUUGCCUAAACUGGCAACUGCCUCUGUAAUAUACUGCUGUCAUGGCUACGGCCGUGAGCCACAUCUUCCCACUGCCCACUGACACUGUAAUUCAGCAGCUCCAUCCUUUUCCUGGACUCUCGCAUAGCUGAUAGCUGGUCUUCCUGUAUCCGCUCUCCCCUUACCAUAACUGUCUACCCUAUAAAUUUGGGUUGUUGGACUUUGAACUUACUGCUAUCCUGUAACAAGAUGCUC